rnacentral:misc_RNA from 1 species
AAGUCGUAACAAGGUUUCCGUAGGUGAACCUGCGGAAGGAUCAUUAACAAAACAAAAUAACAUGGGUGAAUGGGCAGUAAAAUGCUCGGUAACUCUGUUUAUUCAACUUGUGAACCGUCUUUUGAACUGGCUUUGAGUAGUGUAGUUUACUACACACGCCCAUUGCCAGAGUAUAACACACCAACCUUUGUAAUUGCAAUUAAAGCAUUUCAAAUUUUAUAUAAUCACUAUAUAACUUUUAACAAUGGAUCUCUAGGCUCUU